GCGCUGCACAAAAGGAGCGGCGCCGUCGUUACAGCCGUCGCCAUCUUGGCUUGCCCCCUCCCUCGGAGUGGGGCGGGGGAUGCUGCCGCCCUAAGGCGAGGUUUAACCCUCGGGGGACCGCCGUCCGUCAGGAUGCGUCUUGUCCUUUAACGGCGCGCACGGCGGUGUAGCGACGCCGUCACGGGCAGGGCGGGCGGCUGACCGAAAGCCUUGCCCACGGGUUUGCACGCGAGGAGGAGCCGUGCAACGGCGGUGGCGAGCGGGGCUGCGCGGUUCGAAGAGCAGUUGGUACCGCAAAGGAAUGCAGCGUGCAGAGCGUGCUUCAGGCUUUGCGAGCAACUGAUAUAAUUUGCUGGAAAAUUGAAUUUGGGGGCACAGAGAAAAUCAAAUCAGGGACAGAAAAGUGAUAAGAAUGCUGAGCAAGGGCUUGUCUUAGGAAUCACAGAUGAAGACUGAUUUUGCAGCUGUAGGAGUGGCAGGGUGCUCCCAGCUGCCUGGAAACCAAAAUCAAGGGAUGAGGUACUGGAAGGCACAAAUACCCAGUUGCCCUUGUUUUCUUUUCUGGAAACCAGGAGUCCACACUGGGGAUAUCAGCACGCCACCCUGGUCCUUUCACAGAGCUCACACGUUGCUGUGCAUUACCCCAAGGCUGGCACCCAGGCUGCGUGUGGAAGGUGCCUCUGGUGCACAGGUGUGAUGGCGUUGCCUGGUGCCCAUCCCAGGAGCAGCCCUGUGGACCACGAGGCAAGGCACAGCAGGUUCAGGUUCACAGUGCCGUGUUUCAUGUGGACUUCCAUGUGGAUAUUUGGAUGUUAAAAGGUAGACUCCAUAUAAAGUCAGUACAGAAUCAGGUUUUUAAUAGGAAAGCUGCUUAGCCUCUGAGGUCCCGUCACUGUCUCUUUUUGAAAUGUUCAGAAUGAUAGAACUGAUAAGAAAUGAACGCUUCAGGAAUUUAUCAUAUUCUGGAACAUUUUUCAAGUGAAGUAUUUUGUUAGAAAUGAUCAUCUUUGAAAAUGCCUUAAGAAAACUGAUUAUUUUUUUGCAUGACAUAAUUCUGUAUUGAUUCUAUAUUCCACAGAAUGCAGUAUCAUCUUAGUUGAUUGCUGUAUAGUAAAAGGGUGUAGUUUAGCUCAAGCAGCAUUUUGGAGGCAGGCUGUUACCUUUCCUCCGUGGGAUUUUUCCUUAGGAUGCUGCCUCCCUUAGAGGCCAGAAAUAGGAGCUCUGCUUGCACUUGCAUCCUCCUCCUUCCACAAACUGAGGAGGAGGGGAAUAGAGUGCAGCCCUGGUUUGUGCUCUGGAAGGUCUUUGCCCAGCCACAGCUGUCACCAGCCAGGUGCCACGAGUCUGUGAUGCCUUACCAGGAAAUAGUGGUGGUGUGAUAAUAUGAAAUAUGAUGCUUUCCUCUUCUGCCUGUUUCCUUGCCUACCUAGUCCAUGAACUUUCCAAAAUAGCUGACUACAGCCCUUCAUCUCACAGGGAGAAAAGUCUUAUAUCUCUCUAAUAACAUUAGACAUCUAAAGGGGGCUGGGAAUCCUCUUGGGAGUGAAGGGAACUCAUCAUAGUAAACUGCUGUUAAAUUUGGCUUUAAAAUUUUGUAGUUCAGCUGACAAAUCUACAGUUGUCAAUGCCGGCAGCACUGAUACAAGAAGUACUGGUAAUCUUUGAGAAGACAUCUAACAAUAGCAAUACAGACAGACUGGGAGCCAGUUGUGUUCUGUUUUGUCCUCCUCGUACACUGGCACAUGCCCUCAGUAGUGAGCUGCUCAGGCAACAAAUCACUGACAGGUGUGCAACGACAAGCUUGUCUAGGCAGGCUUAAAUCAUCCCUGGCGGUUGCACCUGUGUACUUACGGUCAGUACCAGCAUCAAUUUGCUAGAAUUUAGCUCGGAUACCCACUAGUUGAAAAUAUCUUUAGAAACAAGCAAGCCAGUAUGUUCAACUGGAGUUGUUUGCUGCUGGCCUGCUAACUUUCUGUAAAAGGUGUGGGCAGACAGGUGUAACAGGCUAUGGGGAAACAUCAAAUGAGUACCAGAAGGAACCUGUGAAUACAUUAUUUUUCCUUUGUUUUUAUGUUUUGUUUAAACUGCCACAUGUAACAGCUUUGGUGAUUUCCAUGUUUUAAGAAUGAGCAAUGGAUGUUCUAAACCCUGCUGCAGAAAAAGUGUUGGAGUCUCAAAAAUUGCUGUGUGCAUUUUGUGUCACCGCCCAAUGCCAGCAAAGACAUAAAGAGCAAAGGAGUAUCUUGCAGCUGCUACAAGAUGAGACUUACUGAAGCCAAUCCCUCCUUCAAGAAUCUGUAUCUGUUUCUCUACGUGGCAGAUUAGAUGUGAGUUCAACGGAAAACUGUUCUUCUUUAGAGAGUUAAUUCUGUCGUCGUCUGUGAAUUUAUGCAUCGAAUAAAUAAAACAUGAACAGCAGCAAUGUGAUCAUUCACCCGAGAUGCGUCCAGCCUAAAUCAAAGUAAACUGUGGCAGGUAAAAUCCAGCCUUUCAUUUCUGUUGGAAUGCAGCUGGCCAACCUCUCUUAUCCUCUGAGCCACCUUAGAGGGUAAAGGGGCUGUGAACUUUGCAGAGGCUCACAAGUGGCACCUGACAUCCCAUCAGUCUGCUGCAAGCACAAUGCUUUUAUUUUGAGACUACUGGAGAUGAGAUCUGGGAAUCUUCUGUGUGCCAAAGUCUUCCUGUACAAUAUGGAGCUCCAUCAAAAUUCAGCUGAUGUGAAACUGCUCUGAGGAUAGGAAGACCAUGAAGUAGCAGCAAAGGCAGGAAGGGCCCCAGGACAGCAUGCUGAACCAAAAAAGAGCUCCUCCUUUGAAACAGCCUACAAGUGCCUGCAGUACAAAUGCCUGCUGUACCACCGCUCUCAUCUCUGAAACCAGCUUCUCCAUCACCCCACAGUCUAUGCAGAUGUUGCUGGAGUCAGGCAACACAGUGGCACAGCAGCACCCUGGGAAUAGAGGAGCAGUUAUUUUCACCACAGCUUUCCUAUUUGGUUUAGCUCUGUCAAGCAAGGAAAGCACGUGCCAUUUUCCAGCAAGAACUCAUUCAGCUUGAGCAUCUCCAUAUGAAGCAAUUAAUGGAACAGAAAGGCAAUGAGAAGAAAUCCACCAAGGGACUACUGAGAAGUGAAGCUACAGUCCUGCAAAGCGUGCUUAUUAAUGCCACAGGAGAGGGGCAGUAAUUCAAAAUCUGUUUUUCAGGACCAUCGGCUAAACGAACAUGAAGAGAGAUGCACAUGUGGUAAAGCAUCCUUCCUCCCACUCCAUCAGACUGCACAGCAUUUAAGAUUUAUCACUACUGAUGACAGAUACCUGACCUCACAUAACUCUGCACGGAAUUUUGUUGUAACAGUUGCAGUUAAAUAAAGUGUUAUUUCUCUUAA